UACGUAGGGUGCGAGCGUUAAUCGGAAUUACUGGGCGUAAAGCGUGCGCAGGCUGUUCUGUAAGUCAGAUGUGAAAUCCCCGAGCUCAACUUGGGAACUGCGUUUGAAACUACAGGACUAGAAUAUGUCAGAGGGGGGUAGAAUUCCACGUGUAGCAGUGAAAUGCGUAGAGAUGUGGAGGAAUACCAAUGGCGAAGGCAGCCCCCUGGGAUAAUAUUGACGCUCAUGCACGAAAGCGUGGGGAGCAAACGAGG
rnacentral:rRNA from 1 species